CUAACCCAGACCCGUAAUCCGGGUCGGGGACCGUGCAUGGUAGGCAGUUUGACUGGGGCGGUCUCCUCCUAAAGAGUAACGGAGGAGUACGAAGGUGCGCUCAGACCGGUCGGAAAUCGGUCGUAGAGUAUAAAGGCAAAAGCGCGCUUGACUGCGAGACAGACACGUCGAGCAGGUACGAAAGUAGGUCUAAGUGAUCCGGUGGUU
rnacentral:rRNA from 1 species